rnacentral:rRNA from 1 species
CUUCUCUUGAGAGCGGCGGACGGGUGAGUAAUGCCUAGGAAUCUGCCUGGUAGUGGGGGAUAACGUUCGGAAACGGACGCUAAUACCGCAUACGUCCUACGGGAGAAAGCAGGGGACCUUCGGGCCUUGCGCUAUCAGAUGAGCCUAGGUCGGAUUAGCUAGUUGGUGAGGUAAUGGCUCACCAAGGCGACGAUCCGUAACUGGUCUGAGAGGAUGAUCAGUCACACUGGAACUGAGACACGGUCCAGACUCCUACGGGAGGCAGCAGUGGGGAAUAUUGGACAAUGGGCGAAAGCCUGAUCCAGCCAUGCCGCGUGUGUGAAGAAGGUCUUCGGAUUGUAAAGCACUUUAAGUUGGGAGGAAGGGUUGUAGAUUAAUACUCUGCAAUUUUGACGUUACCGACAGAAUAAGCACCGGCUAACUCUGUGCCAGCAGCCGCGGUAAUACAGAGGGUGCAAGCGUUAAUCGGAAUUACUGGGCGUAAAGCGCGCGUAGGUGGUUUGUUAAGUUGGAUGUGAAAUCCCCGGGCUCAACCUGGGAACUGCAUUCAAAACUGACUGACUAGAGUAUGGUAGAGGGUGGUGGAAUUUCCUGUGUAGCGGUGAAAUGCGUAGAUAUAGGAAGGAACACCAGUGGCGAAGGCGACCACCUGGACUAAUACUGACACUG